UUGACGAGUGGUUGUAAUUGACGUCAAUCAACUUUAUAUCCCGCCCCCGCUGCGCCUGAGAGUCCCGAGAUAAAGAAGCCUCCACGUCAAGCAGCCAGAAGCGGUGAUAAGAAAAGCUUCCUGAUUGGUCAGAGUCUUGCUUGACCCAUCUUCGGGAGGAAUAGGGAUUCGCUACUCCCGCUGUCCUUCUAGAAGUGGGUUCGCCUACAAUGGGGCAGUUUGGGGUCUAGGCGGUCUGGAGCGGCGCCUGCGCAAUGGGCCAGGCCGCUGCUGUAGAGGCCGUUUUGACUUGAUUUGACUUCGCAGCGGUUCUCGCGGCUUCCCCGGUUCCCGGGUUCUGCACAGCGCGGCUAUUAUAGUGCAUCGAGAAGUUCAGUCCUUGCCCCGCAUCCCGCAGGGAAAUCUCAUUUUAAAAGCCCAAAGAUGUAAUGAGCGUUAAAUUCUAAAAUAUGAAUGUGUUUUAUUAAAGGGAUGUUUGUGAACAAAGGCAGAACAAAUACACUUUGAUGGGGCUAAGCGGUGAGACUCGGAAACUUGAAGUCGUACUUUCCUCUUAGUCCAUUUACUCUGCAAAAGGAGAAUGCAUCACUCACCUCGUUGCCCGUCACCCAGGGAGGCUCUCUGUGCGCGUUUACCGGGUUGGGGGUGCCUCCUGCACGCGGUUAGGGGGUCAGAGACCUAAAUCCCUGGCCUGGACAAGUCACUUCAUCCCUCAGCCUCUCAGGAUGGGCCUAGGAGAACCCGCCUUGUUGGGUGGUUGUGGGGAUGGAAGGAGAGAAACGUAUGAGUGCCUGGGAGAUAGUAGGUGCACACGUGAUUGUGGGGUGGAUGGGAGAGCGGAAGCUUAUCUGGACAGAUUUGGUUUAUCAUCGCUGUCACUGGUUGGCCGAAUGUAUCCCUUGUUCUCACUUUCUUGGGGCCCCUGGGAUUCUGAUGGCUCAUGCUGAAGGGAAGAGCAGCCCCUCAGCAAAGGUGCCUAUGCGAAAGUUCUACAUUCUCUCCAGACGCCUAGAACAUUCCACCUCUCCACCACUCUGCAUCUCAGAGUGGCUGCCAGCCUUGUGUGGGGGAAUAAACAUACACACUCUAUGAAUGACUGAUGGUUUCGGCCCCGAAUCCAGAGUAAAUGCAAGUUGUCUGAGAUGUUCUUUCCUUGGGAUUCAUUCCUGGUGCUACGGUAAAGGUAAUAAUCACACCCGCCUCACAGGGCUGUUCUCUGUUCCCCACUCACUGUCUCCCUUUUGUUGCUGCUACUCUGUGUGAUUUUAGUCAGCAUCAUCAUAAGAGCAUUGUGGAACUUUCCAGAGAGAUGGUAAACACUUGUAUGGUGAAUUCUGUCCCCCUUCACCUCAUGGACCCAAGGGCCUUCUAUACAUUUCUGUGACUGAAGUUGGUUGAAUCCAGAGAUGUGGAACCCGUGGAUGCAGAGGGCCACCUAUAUUCCAUAUUUAUUAGUUUAUUUGUAUGGUAUCUGUUGCCCUCCACUAGAAGGUAAGCUUCAUGAGAACUGACACUUGGU